AUUGAACGCUGGCGGCAGGCCUAACACAUGCAAGUCGAACGGUAACAGGGAUCAGCUUGCUGGUUCGCUGGCGAGUGGCGUACGGGUGAGUAAUGUCUGGGACACUGCCUGAUGGAUGGGGAUAACUACUGGAAACGGUAGCUAAUACCGCAUAAAGUCGCAAGGCCAAAGAGGGGGACCUUCGGGCCUCUUGCCAUCGGCUGUGCCCAGAUGGGAUUAGCUAGGUGGUGGGGUAACGGCUGACCUAGGCGACGAUCCGUAGCUGGUCUGAGAGGAUGACCAGCCACACUGGAACUGAGACACGGUCCAGACUCCUACGGGAGGCAGCAGUGGGGAAUAUUGGACAAUGGGCGCAAGCCUGAUGCAGCCAUGCCGCGUGUAUGAAGAAGGCCUUCGGGUUGUAAAGUACUUUCAGUGGGGAGGAAGGGAAGAAAGUUAAUACCUUUGUUCAUUGACGUUACCCGCAGAAGAAGCACCGGCUAACUUCGUG
rnacentral:rRNA from 1 species